CCCUGCAACUGGGGGCUGGCACACUGGCCGGAUUGGGCUCCUCGAUAGGCGGCAUGCUGCGACUGCUCACCUCCAGUUGUGCCCGGGUCCUGGGGUCUGGGGUGGUCACGUGGCGUCCCUCUGUGGGGCUCCUCUCUCCUGGGCACGCCAGGAUCCGCCAGGCUUCAGAUGUCUCAGAUGCUCCACAUCACCAGUCCCCCAGCGCCGAGUCACUGGUGCAGCUGGUGGGCAUCUGCUCUAUGAUGCACCUACCCUUGCGGUCGUCUCCUGACGGGCUGGAUGCUGCCUUCAUCGGUGUGCCUCUGGACAUAGGGACUUCCAACCGGCCCGGGGCAAGGUUUGGACCCCGUCGCAUCCGAGAGGAAUCGGUGAUGCUGGGGGCUGUCAACCCCAGCACGGGAGCCCUCCCUUUCCAGUCCCUCAGGGUUGCAGACCUAGGCAACGUGAAUGUCAAUCUUUACAACCUCCAGGACAGCUGCCGGCUAAUUCGAGAGGUCUAUCAGAACGUCCUAGCAGCUGGCUGCAUUCCUCUGACCUUGGGUGGAGACCACACAAUCACUUAUCCCAUACUGCAAGCAGUGGCAAAAAAGCAUGGCCCUGUGGGUCUAGUGCACGUGGGUGCCCACACCAACACAGCUGACAAAACUCUGGGGGAGAAGGUCCAUCAUCGGACAGCUUUCCGCCGAAGCGUGGACGAGGGACUGCUGGACUCGUCUUCUCCAUUGUCAAAAGAGGGAUUCCACAGCGGCUUGACCAGAGUUCAGAAAGUGGGGCUGGGGCUAGAUGUGGCAGCACAGGCCCGUGAUCCCAAUCUUCAAGGAACGAGAAUCCAACAUCAUCCUCAGCUUCCCAUUGAGUUCACGGCAAGCCCGGGCUGCGUGAGACCUCCUCUGAGGAAAGAAACAAAUACGGGCUGGCACGAGGGCUCCAUCAGGGUCUUAUUCUGUAGCUUAGGCUGGCCUGCAACUCACGGUGAUCCUCCUGCCUCAGCCUCCUGAGCUAUUGGAGGUGUGAACCACUGUGCCUGGCUCAGAGAGACAUUGAUGAGGCAGAAGUGGCCUGCUGCUGCCCAGCAGAAUGAAGUAGGAAGUUAAACCCCUGGAGGCUGCUGGCUUAGAAGACAUGGGGUUGUGAACCUGAGUCUAGGCAAGACACCCCUUCUUAAUGUUUAUUCUAACAUCCAGAAGACAGAAGGCUCUGGUCUGAACACAGUGCAAGGCUCCCACACAAACACCCCAGUCCCUUUCUUUUAUUUUGAGACAGGAUCUCAUGAUGUAGCCCUGGUUGUCUUGAAACUUGCUUUGUAGACCAGGCUACCUUUGAACUUACAGAAAUCAGCCUGCCUCUACUUCUGAGCACUGGGAUUAAAGGGCUUCCGUGUGGUUCUGGCUGAAGACUGCUGGAUGAAGUCAUUGGUUCCCCUGAUGGCGGAGAUCAGGCAACAGAUGGCAGACAAGCCUCUUUAUAUCAGCUU